rnacentral:tRNA from 1 species
AUUUCUUUAGUAUAAUAAGUAUAAUUGAUUUCCAAUCAAAAGGUUAAAAUUAAAGAAAUA